rnacentral:rRNA from 1 species
GGAAGCGGAGGAAAAGAAACUAACAAGGAUUCCCCUAGUAACGGCGAGUGAAGAGGGAAGAGCUCAAAUUUGAAAGCUGGUACCUUCGGUAUCCGCGUUGUAACCUCGAGACACGUUUUCCGUGCGGCGCUAUGGACAAGUUCCUUGGAACAGGACAUCGUAGAGGGUGAAAAUCCCGUACUUGCCAUGGAUGUACCGUGCUUUGCGAUACGUGCUCUAAGAGUCGAGUUGUUUGGGAUUGCAGCUCAAAAUGGGUGGUAGACUCCAUCUAAAGCUAAAUAUCGGGGAGAGACCGAUAGCGAACAAGUACCGUGAGGGAAAGAUGAAAAGCACUUUGGAAAGAGAGUUAAAAGUACGUGAAAUUGUCGAAAGGGAAGCGCUUGAAGUCAGCCAUGCCGCUCAGGACUCAGCCUGGCUUUUGCUUGGUGUAUUUCCUGGGUAGCAAGUCAGCAUUGGUUUGGAUCGUCGGAGAAGCAUAGUCGGAAUGUGGCGCCCUCGGGCGUGUUAUAGCCUUCUAUUGGAUACGACGAUCUAGACCAAGGAACGCAGCGCGCCUU